rnacentral:lncRNA from 1 species
GGGAAGGACGAACAAGGGCAAAUAGGUAAUUCUAAUAUUAACUUUGGGAUAAUUCCUAAUGUAAAUAGUACAUUAUAAUGGGCCCAUCUGUCAUAGAUAUAUGACCUACUCUAUUAACACGUGUAUUGCUCUUUAUUUCUCAAGAAACACGUGUGCUACUAAUUGUGUUGUCUUUUUCAUUGGAACAUUUAACAAAAAACUUGUGUAAAGUGAGCUUAUUGUUCUUCUUCUGGGAAUGAUUUCUACCGUCCCUUCAGUUUUAAAUCCCUUUCCCACUGGUAUUAUACCUUUUCCUGCCAGUGUAGAACCUAGCAGAUAUCGAUUAAUCUAAUUUUAUGUUAUUUUUAUUUUGCCUUUAGGUCAAUUUUUCAUUGGAUUGGUUUGAAUUUUCUUUCAAUUUUGUUGAUUUCUUGGGUAUUUAGGGUUGUUAUACCGUUCCAUGCACUACAUUUUAGAGUUCAUUGUAAUUUGUAGCACUGGCCGUUUUUCUCCUUCUCCUCUCCGACUUGCCUAUUUACAAAUUUGUAUUUAAUAUAAUAAUUUCUCCUAUUCAGGUCUAUUACUUCAAGGAGAUAGGGGAGAAUUGCAAGCAUGAGAUGCCGGAAUGGAGCAGAAGCUUGAAAUUCAAACAAUCUAUCAAAUUUUUAUAUCGUUAUACAUCAGGUAUACCGACCUCAAUUUUUCCAAAUCAAACCAAGAAAAUAUAGGUUCUCCCCUUUUUUAUUUACCGACUAUGAAUUUCUGAUUUGAGUAGAGAUUGCAACACUAAAUUCCUUAUAGGGUGAGUUCACAAUUUUGCGGUCUACAUGAGUUACAUUCUGCUACCACAACAAUUAGUCUUCUAAUUUUUCUUCAACACCCAUACUUUUAUCUAACUCUGUUGGAGGCUAAUGGAGAUUAAACAAACAACAAACUACCUUAAGUUGAUGACAUGAUGGUUAACCUUAAAAUACACAUAUCUCUUUUUCUGAAAAUUGGCACGGACUAGCACGAAUCAACAGGCAAGUUGGUAAAUUAUUUUUUGUCAUUGAUGUUAUGAUAAACAAAGUCGUGCUAUCAUAUGAAUGGAUUGUUGGUGUUCUGUGGUAAUAGGAAGUUCUACUUUAAAGUUUACAGGCUAGCUUCCUGGUACGUAUGAAUGACAAGACUCAAAUUGGACAUAGAAGACGGUUUCCAUGUUCUAAGGUAUGAAACUUACCUUUAAUAUGUCUCUCAUUUUUCUUGAUUUUGGU